CCUACGGGAGGCAGCAGUGGGGAAUAUUGCACAAUGGGGGAAACCCUGAUGCAGCGACGCCGCGUGAGCGAUGAAGUAUUUCGGUAUGUAAAGCUCUAUCAGCAGGGAAGAAAAUGACGGUACCUGACUAAGAAGCCCCGGCUAACUACGUGCCAGCAGCCGCGGUAAUACGUAGGGGGCAAGCGUUAUCCGGAUUUACUGGGUGUAAAGGGAGCGUAGACGGUCCUGCAAGCCAGAUGUGAAAGCCCGGGGCUCAACCCCGGGACUGCAUUUGGAACUGUAAGGCUAGAGUGUCGGAGAGGCAGGCGGAAUUCCUAGUGUAGCGGUGAAAUGCGUAGAUAUUAGGAGGAACACCAGUGGCGAAGGCGGCCUGCUGGACGAUGACUGACGUUGAGGCUCGAAAGCGUGGGGAGCAAACAGGAUUAGAUACCCCAGUAGUC
rnacentral:rRNA from 1 species